rnacentral:rRNA from 1 species
GCAUAUCAAUAAGCAGAGGAAAGAGACUAACACGGAUUCCCCUAGUAACUGCGAGUGAGGAGCGGGAAAAGCUCAAAUUUAAAAUCUGGCAGUUUGACUGUCCGAGUUGUAAUCUAGAGAAGUGUUACCCGUGCUGGACCGUGUACAAGUCUCCUGGAAUGGAGCGUCAUAGAGGGUGAGAAUCCCGUCUUUGACACGGACUACCAGUGCUUUGUGAUAUACKCUCUCAAAGAGUCGAGUUGUUUGGGAAUGCAGCUCAAAAUGGGUGGUAAAUGCCAUCUAAAGCUAAAUAUUGGCGAGAGACCGAUAGCGAACAAGUACCGUGAGGGAAAGAUGAAAAGAACUUUGGAAAGAGAGUUAAACAGUACGUGAAAUUGSUGAAAGGGAAACGCUUGAAGUCAGUCACGUUGCCGGGGAAUCACCCUGGCUUUGCAUGGUGUACUUCUCAGUUAACGGGUCAACACAAUUUUCAACUCUUGGAUAAAGGCUUUGGAAAGGUGCACCUUUCGGGUGUGUUAUAGCCUUUGUUCGCCUACCACGGUUGGGAUUGAGGAACUCAGCCCGCCGAAAGGCCCGGGGUUUUCAUCCCAUGUAUCGUUAGGAUGCUGGCAUAAUGGCUUUAAUCGACCCGUCUUGAAACACGCACCGAGGAGUCUAACCUGCCUGCGAGUGUAUGUGGAGUGGACAACCCUUGCGCGUAAUGAAAAUGAAAGUUGAGAUGCCUGUUGUGGGGAGCAUCGACGCCCGGACCAGACCUUUUGUGACGGAUCCGCGGUAGAGCAUGUAUGUUGGGACCCGAAAGAUGGUGAACUAUGCCUGAAUAGGGUGAAGCCAGAGGAAACUCUGGUGGAGGCUCGUAGCGAUUCUGACGUGCAAAUCGAUCGUCAAAUUUGGGUAUAGGGGCGAAAGACUAAUCGAACCAUCU